CUUAGCGGCGGACGGGUGAGUAACGCGUGGGUAACCUGCCUUACACUGGGGGAUAACAGUUAGAAAUGACUGCUAAUACCGCAUAAGCGCACAGGGCUGCAUGGCCUGGUGUGAAAAACUCCGGUGGUGUAAGAUGGACCCGCGUCUGAUUAGGUAGUUGGUGGGGUAACGGCCCACCAAGCCGACGAUCAGUAGCCGACCUGAGAGGGUGACCGGCCACAUUGGGACUGAGACACGGCCUAA
rnacentral:rRNA from 1 species